rnacentral:lncRNA from 1 species
UAAGAUUGCUGAAAGGGAUGUCAGACGGUUGGCAAACCUGCGUUCUCUCUCACUUGCACUAGGAGUACAAGCUCCAUACCAGCAUGUUCUCUCUCUCUCUCUCUCUCACUCACACACACACACACGGAAAGGCAUAAUUGAGUACACAUGCAUGUGGGUGUUCGUUAAUUUAUUUUUGUUGACAGAUAAGGGUGGGCUAUCGAAUUGCUGCCAUUGUAAAGCCGAGAAAGGUGCAGGGGAAAGAAUGUUUUGAAGUAGCUUGGGAAGGAGAUCCUUGCCUUAAAACCUCUGUAAUCCCAGCUGAUUUGGUGAAGAGGUAAAUCCUACUCUAUAACUUGAAUGUUUAAUCAAAUAACUGAAUUUGGAAGAAAUGAUCAAACCUUCGAUUCGGUUUAUGUACAAGAUAUCUUGGUUUAUUGACUCGAAUUAGUGACAUUAGACAGUGGUCAUUUGUAAGUUACCAAAUUACACUUUUGAAGCCAUGCCAGAUUAUCAAGCUAUGAAAAUGACCUCUCUCUCUCUCUCUCUCACACACACACACACACAACCGACGCCACGCAUGGGCACAUGCACACACUGGGGGAAAUAUGUAUAUCCAUGCGUGUUUUUUUUUGUCUUUGAGAUUAUUAACCAAAAACAACUGAUAUUUUUUGUCC